UGGGGAAUAUUGGACAAUGGGCGCAAGCCUGAUCCAGCAAUGCCGCGUGAGUGAUGAAGGCCUUAGGGUUGUAAAGCUCUUUUACCCGGGAUGAUAAUGACAGUACCGGGAGAAUAAGCCCCGGCUAACUCCGUGCCAGCAGCCGCGGUAAUACGGAGGGGGCUAGCGUUGUUCGGAAUUACUGGGCGUAAAGCGCACGUAGGCGGCUUUGUAAGUUAGAGGUGAAAGCCCAGGGCUUAACCCUGGAAUUGCCUUUAAGACUGCAUCGCUAGAAUCGUGGAGAGGUAAGUGGAAUUCCGAGUGUAGAGGUGAAAUUCGUAGAUAUUCGGAAGAACACCAGUGGCGAAGGCGACUUACUGGACACGUAUUGACGCUGAGGUGCGAAAGCGUGGGGAGCAAACA
rnacentral:rRNA from 1 species